UUUUCUUUUUGGCAGAGCGCGUGGGUAGAUGGUAAAUUUUCACCGAAUCAAAAGACAAGGAAAAUACCACAUGGAUGAAGUAACUGGAACGCUGAUUUAGCAGAGGAUGGGGUCGUCAGAUGACAACGGGAGGGCAAGCGGAAUAGUCAGGAUUCUGUUCUAAUUUGACCAUAUUUGGGUAUUUGUAGUGCGCGUGCGGUCUUUAAGCGACGUUCCCGUUUUCUUGCAAAUCAGUUUUCAAAUGACUGUGGAAGUUAAUUACGAGAUAGCGAUUGCUACGCUUCGUGAUUGGUUUAAGAAUCUCACACCAAUUUUCAACCAAUGAGAAGCAAAACCAA